UAGGGAAUCUUCCACAAUGGACGCAAGUCUGAUGGAGCAACGCCGCGUGAGUGAAGAAGGUUUUCGGACCGUAAAGCUCUGUUGUUGGUGAAGAAGGAUAGAGGUAGUAACUGGCCUUUAUUUGACGGUAAUCAACCAGAAAGUCACGGCUAACUACGUGCCAGCAGCCGCGGUAAUACGUAGGUGGCAAGCGUUGUCCGGAUUUAUUGGGCGUAAAGCGAGCGCAGGCGGAAGAAUAAGUCUGAUGUGAAAGCCCUCGGCUUAACCGAGGAAUUGCAUCGGAAACUGUUUUCUUGAGUGCAGAAGAGGAGAGUAGAACUCCAUGUGUAGCGGUGGAAUGCGUAGAUAUAUGGAAGAAUACCAGUGGCGAAGGCGGCUCUCUGGUCUGCAACUGACGCUGAGGCUCGAAAGCAUGGGUAGCGAACAGGAUUAGAUACCCUGGUAGUCCAUGCCG
rnacentral:rRNA from 1 species